rnacentral:rRNA from 1 species
AGAGCGAACGCUGGCGGCAGGCCUAAUACAUGCAAGUCGAACGGAUUCUUCGGGAUUAGUGGCGGACGGGUGAGUAACACGUGGGAACGUGCCCUUUGGUUCGGAACAACUCAGGGAAACUUGAGCUAAUACCGGAUGUGCCCUUCGGGGGAAAGAUUUAUCGCCAUUGGAGCGGCCCGCGUCUGAUUAGCUAGUUGGUGGGGUAAAGGCCUACCAAGGCUACGAUCAGUAGCUGGUCUGAGAGGAUGAUCAGCCACACUGGGACUGAGACACGGCCCAGACUCCUACGGGAGGCAGCAGUAGGGAAUCUGCGCAAUGGGCGAAAGCCUGACGCAGCCAUGCCGCGUGAAUGAUGAAGGUCUUAGGAUUGUAAAAUUCUUUCAGUGGGGACGAUAAUGACGGUACCCACAGAAGAAGCCCGGCUAACUUCGUGCCAGCAGCCGC